CGGGUUAGGAACUGAGGCGGGUUCAGCCCCGAAAACAAAAGCUGAUAAACUGCGGUUCCUCUCAGAUUCCAAACACUGACCCGGCGCAACAAGCAUGUGGCAGGGUCCCUGGUUCGUGGUGCUGAUUUUCAGCUGUAGAAGUGUGGCUCAGACUCUGACCCAGCUCCAAGCAUCGAUUACCGCACCUGUUGGGAGAGUCGUGCGAGUACGGUGUCAAGUGACAGGAGUCUCCAUCAGCAGCAGUGAUCCCCUUCACUGGUACCAACAGAAACCCGGAAAGCCGCUCCAAAGGAUACUGUACCAUGGAGCGAGCGUAACGCGGGAUUCGGAAUUCGGGACCUCCUUCGACGCGGGAGAAACUACAGCUUCCAAAUUCUAUCUCAAUGUCGAAGUUAACGCUGAAAGCGCUGCCACCUACUACUGCGCCUGCUGGGUUGACACAUUCUACACUCGCAAACUGGCGACAGAAACCAUUGCUGUUCACUGCUCUCUCCAGGGAAAAGGAUCCACGAGUAAAAGCGUAAAUAAAGGUGAAGGUGAAGGACACACUGCGCGGCCGCUGGGACAACCAGUCAAUAUCCGGGCACUUGCUGAUUACAUCUAA